CAGGAAAAGACUCUGGUCCCCAGCCUCCCUAUCUACCCAAUGACCUGUAAGUAGAAGUGGUUCUCUGAGUUCUGGGAAAUUCUUCAGAGUGAGGGGCCAUUUCUUUACCUUCCUCUAGCCUACCUACAGCCUGACACUCAGAUGUGAUGGCUGGAGCUGCAGCAGUCACUUUGGACCAGGAGGCCGAGGGCCACAUGCUCGGCGGCUCUGGUGAAGAGGAAGUGGCUUGGACACCUUCCUGGAGCUCCAGUACCACCAGCCCCAGGCUGCUCUUCACGUAAAAUGAAACUUCUCUCUAGCUGAAGCCACUGUUUUUCUUUUUCUGUUAAAUCCAGCUGCACUUGGUCCAAAUGAAACAUUGUAAUUCUGCAGUAUUUGGUCAAGCUACAGCCUGUCUCCUGGGGGCAUUUUUAGGCUCUGUUGUGUUCCUAUCUCUGGGGUUGGGUAUCAGGGAAAGGCCGCCAGCUGCCCCGCAAGCCGACCUCUAGGGUGUGCUGCGCCACCUGGUGGACGCAUGACUGAUAGCACGUCUGUCAAGG